CUACGGAGGGUGCGAGCGUUAAUCGGAAUUACUGGGCGUAAAGCGCGCGUAGGCGGAUAAUUAAGUCAGAUGUGAAAUCCCCGGGCUCAACCUGGGAACUGCAUUUGAUACUGAUUAACUAGAGUAUGGUAGAGGUGAGUGGAAUUUCCGGUGUAGCGGUGAAAUGCGUAGAGAUCGGAAGGAACACCAGUGGCGAAGGCGACUCACUGGGCCAUUACUGACGCUGAGGUGCGAAAGCGUGGGUAGCAAACAGGAUUAGAAACCCUAGUAGUCC
rnacentral:rRNA from 1 species